rfam:Lupinus angustifolius cultivar Tanjil contig_38982, whole genome shotgun sequence.
UACCUGGUUGAUCCUACCAGUAGUCAUAUGCUUGUCUAAAAGAUUAAGCUAUGCAUGUGUAAGUAUGAACUAA